UGUCAUCAGUAUUUAUCAGUAUUUAUCAAGGGCGGACAUGAGUUAACGUGCGACUUGGUGUACGACAACAACAUGGAAAAAGACAUGGAUCUAUAUUAAAUUAUAAUCGUACGCUGCGCACGACAGUGCAAGAAGACAAGUACAUACAUACGUACGAGAGUUGUCAAUCUUGUAAUUAAUAUCACGUACUUGGUACUUCCGCAUCGUUAUAUCGUCUUCUGCGAGAAAAAUGUGGUUCUAUUUUCUAUUCGUCGUUUUCGGCAUUCUCGAUGUCGCAAUGGCUUCCAACAAUUUCGACUUCGGCGACACUCUGGCGUUGAUCUUGGGAUUGACCAUUGCGAUUGUCGGAUUCUUCGCCUGCAUGGGGGCUUAUGCGAGGAGGCGAAACCACUUUGAAUCUCUGUGAUGCCUCACAAUGCUUCGCAAUCGUCUUAAACAUAUCCAACGUAUAAAAGAGAUCUGACCUAUCCAGGAAGAUGAUGGCUUAAGAAGCACAAUUCAAGGUUUUUUGUACAUACAAAGGCAGUUUUUAAAAAGAUUAGACAAUAUUUGAAAUACAUUAUAAUGACGUAUUGAUGUAUUUGUAUGUAAUGUCUAAUAUAUCUAUUAUGUAAUAAAGGAACGUGACUAAUAAA